GACGAACGCUGGCGGCGUGCUUAACACAUGCAAGUCGAACGGAAAGGCCCUGCUUUUGUGGGGUGCUCGAGUGGCGAACGGGUGAGUAACACGUGAGUAACCUGCCCUUGACUUUGGGAUAACUUCAGGAAACUGGGGCUAAUACCGGAUAGGAGCUCCUGCUGCAUGGUGGGGGUUGGAAAGUUUCGGCGGUUGGGGAUGGACUCGCGGCUUAUCAGCUUGUUGGUGGGGUAGUGGCUUACCAAGGCUUUGACGGGUAGCCGGCCUGUGAGGGUGACCGGCCACAUUGGGACUGAGAUACGGCCCAGACUCCUACGGGAGGCAGCAGUGGGGAAUAUUGCACAAUGGGCGGAAGCCCGAUGCAGCAACGCCGCGUGCGGGAUGACGGCCUUCGGGUUGUAAACCGCUUUCGCCUGUGACGAAGCGUGAGUGACGGUAAUGGGUAAAGAAGCACCGGCUAACUACGUG
rnacentral:rRNA from 1 species